UGGGCAUGGUGGGUGUGGCUCACCGGUACUGCUGCCGCGUGUCACACCGGCCAGCGUUUGUCUCCCGCAGCUUGGUGGCGAGGACCCGGACAAUGUUGAUGAAGAGGAUGAAGUUGAGCUGUGGGAGUGAGGGAGGGCUGCGUCUCGAGGCCGCACCCUAGCAGAGAGGGGCAAGGACUCUGGGACCCAUGACCCUGCUUAGGCUCUGCUCUGCCACUGUGUCUCCAGGUGGCUCCUUAGGCCCUUGGUUUCCCCAUGUGGACUCGGGUGGGGGUCAGCUGCUUCUUGGGCCUUGUGGCUCCAACCCUGGGGUCCAGGGAAGCCUCUAUAGGUCCCUGUCAGGGGCUGGUCACUGGGACCCACGGUCCAUACCCCGACCCAGCUCUGUGGCCACCCCUGCUUACCACAAUGGAGGCCAGGAUGGGCACCUGGAUGAUCCACUUCUUGUUCCCGGAGCUCAAGUCCCAGCACCUGGGGGAGGUUGAGGCAUCAGCCCCCACCCCCUGCCGUUCCCAACCUGAGCCUUCCCACAGGGAGGCUCCAGAGCUGGUCUGCUCCGACAUUAGCUGUCCCCCAACUCCCACCAAGAGCACAGGACAGGGGAGUGUCAUAUAUGGCCAGGCCUGAGGCCACCCUCAGAGGUCCCUUUUGAAGUAGCCUCCGCUGACCCUGAGCGGGUACCCAGCUUGAAGCUGAACUGAAAGCUCCUGAAACUGGGCCACUCAGGGCCAGGGUACAGGAGGUGCCCCUCAUAUGCUCUACAGAGAAAGAGGGUAGCAGGGGUGUUUCUGGCCUGUGUCAGAGCCUCCUACCCACUUCUCCACCUGGACCUACCCGGUGUUUGCCAGGGUGGCUCUCACACUGACCCACACAGCCACGAAGAUGGCAGGCAGACCUGUGGGCACAGAGGGAGACAGUGUGUGAGGGACUGUCCAUGAUGUCUCUCUCCUCAGCCCACCUUGCCAGUCCCAUUCCCCUCAUCCCUGGUGACCCCCAGCUUAGCCCACCAUUGUCCCUGACACCCCUCACCCUGGGCACAUGGGCUAAUUGGUGACAGAGCCCUACUCUUGCAUGUGCUGCCCUGCUGUCUGCACAGCCUCCCCUCUGCACAGCCUCCCCUCAGGGCUCCAGCCCUCAGGACCCUGUUCAGCCCUCUGCCCUCAUCUUGGUUCCGCAUCUUGUACCACACAUGCACUCCUGCUGGGCACUUGGUGAAUAAGGUAUCACUAAUUUAUCCACACCCAGCCCAUUCUGCCCUCCCCUCCCCUAAAGGGUGCUGCUCUGGGCUAGGGGUUCCCUGUGAGGGAGGGAGCUUAUCAUCACGGGUUUUCUAUUCCAGCACUGCCACCCUUUAAAAAGUCCUAGCCCCAUGGAUGAGGCUGGAUAGGGUGUGCUGUUGUUCCAGGAUGGAUAAAGGGCUACAGGGAAAUCUCAGUGUGCCCAGGCCCAAGCUAACUCAGAUGGUACAUGGUACCUCUGAGUGAGUUUUGCCUCUAGGAAGGAGCCCAAAUCCCCACCCUCUGCCCCCACACACUUCAUUCUAGGCCCAGGGUACCCUUGGGAAGGGCAGGGCAUGACCUGGGUUUAUGCGAGGAAAAGAGCUGUGACAUUCCUGCGCCACAAAGUUCUCUGUGUUCCCCUAUCUGUGUGCUUCCCACCCACGCUGACACCCUCUAGCCCCAGAGCCCACAUCAGCCUGCAACUCUGGGGCUUGCCAUGGAUGAGGUCAAGGUCAGAGUGUGUCCACCAAAGGGCAGGGAGGCUAUGGCUGUUGAUGUGAGGGCCUCUAGGUGCUGAGCGCAGGGAGGGCUCCAGCCACCCAGCCUACCCUUCUGCAGUCUGGCCAGUUGCCCCGGAGCCUGGCCAAGCUCUGGAGCUGCCAACAAUAAUGGACAAUUAUUGGUAACUCGAUCCCACAGCCUGUGGGGGCGGGAGUGCAGAACCCCAGCAACCCAUUCUGCAGAGGAGCUGCUGAAGCCCAGAUGAUGCUAGAGCCAAGGCCUGCAGUUCUGGGCCAUGGACCCUGUGGGCAGGGUGGCAGAAGCAUGGACAGCUCCAUGCAGCGUGGGGACUGGUGGAGAAGUGGGGCUCAGGGUGGAGGGAGCGUUCCAGAUCCCAACUCCAGCCCCAGCAGUGGUGAUACAGUGGUGAGAAUAGCUGCCUUCCAACUCCAGCCCCAGGCUGACCUCUGACCCAAGAUCCACUCUGAUCUUGAGUGGAAUCUUGACCUGAGAGUCCCCCCCUCCCUCUCCUGGGCUGAGCCUCAACCCCGGGUGAACCUGCCUCCAGGUGAGCCCCAACUCCAGGCUGAGACAACCCCAAGUGAACCCUAACCCUUGGCCAAGCCCUGUUCCCUGAGCUUGGGGUGGGGGUGGGGGGCAGCCAGUCACAGAAGGCUCACCACCUGCUGCCCCACAUCCGGCACAGGAUACGCUGUAUGGGUGCUUUCCCCUCAGUGGCACUCUCUGACCCUGCUGCCCAUGGUCCCACCCUGCUUGCACCUCACUGCCUGCGUGCCUGCGUACCCCAGCCGAAGAUCGUGAAGCCCCAGAGGUACUUCUUCUCUGAGAAGAAGGCCAUGAAGAUGAGACUGUGCAGGGACCAUGGACUAGAGGAAGAAGGUCUAGUUUCCAGUGCCAGCUGGACUCCUGAAGAGCUGCCCACCUCAUGCAGGAAAUGGACUCAAGGAAGAGACCAGCUUGAGACUGGGGCAGGAGCUGUGACGUCAGUCCCAUUCUCCCGACCCUGGACACCUCUGCCUUGCCCUUUGCUCAGGGGGCCUUUUUCAAAGACCUAUUCUUCCUUCUGCACCUGCACUGGAUAGCUCCUCCUCCUGCAGGAAGCUGUCCCAGCCCACUCCAGCGGGGUCUGGAGCCCUCGUCAGUGCUCCUGAUCGUGGCGUGCCUCACUAGAUCUAAGCCAGUUCGAGGACUUCUUUGAGCCGCUUCUCACAUUGGGCCUGGGCACGGUGCAGCAAGAAGAUCUGCUCCUCUUUGGUCAUGACGUCAUCUGCAUCCACCUACCAAGCCGAAGGUCAGAUUGCAGGCAGGACUUCCCAGCAGAGCGGCAGACUCCACAACUAUCCCAACCUCCUUGAGGGAUUCCCCCCCCUUUCCAAAGAAUGCGGGAAAUCUGCCUUAUGUAGCUCCAUUGUACAGACGGGAAGCCUCGGCUUCAAGGGGAAGGGCCUGCCCCACCAUAGGGAAAAAAGGGGGAGGGGUGCUGUCCCCUGCUUGCCCGAUAGUAACCCCAUAGGCUGCAGCCACUGAUAUUCUCUGUCCAGUCUGUUCCCCAGGGGUACAUGGGAAAGGGAUGGAAUGUCCCAGGGUGGAUCCUCACAGGAUCCUGGCUGUCUAUUGGGGACCUGGGUGGAGAGGGGGUGGAUAAGGGGUGGUGAACUCUGGGGAAAGAAACGGGGCCUGGAUUCCUUCAAGUCCUAGUGCCCUCGGGACCUUGGGAGUCACCAAUUUCCAUCCUGGCCCUCUCCCCAGUCAGUGCUUUCCCCGUGAAUGGAGAGUGCCUCAACUCCUCCCACCCUUGAGGUCCCAAGAGGGAGAGGAUGGAGAAAUUGCUGGCAAGUGGUCUGGGUUGGGCGGGGCACUCCUGUGCAGGCUGUGGGUGGGAGUCACCCACAUCCAUUGCUUAUCUGGAAGUUCCCCUACAUCCAAGUAGACCCUGUGUUCUGAUGAUGUGGACAGGCCUUUGCUCCUGCUGUUCCCUCUGCCUGGAAUGUCCUUCCUUUCUUUCCUUCCAGCACGUACACCCUGGGUAUUGGCUGCCACCCACGAGGAUUCACUGGCAUCAUUUUAAGGAAGGGAGCAGGAACGUCACGGAGGUGGGGGUGAGAUGGGACUCACUCUGAGCCUCUGUUUCCCUGACUUAGGGUUGGAAGGAAGUCAGAGGGUAAAGGCAGCAUCCCGCCCUGGGAAAAACUCAGUGUGCCCAAGCCCAGCCACUCCCAUGAGUGGGACCCACAAGAGGUUAAUGCAUCCCCUCAGACCCCACCUUCACCCCCAAGUCAGGGCCAUGUCCUCGCAGACCCCCAGGACAGAGCCUGGUUCCCUUAGACCUUCAACAGGCAGAGCUGCAUCCCCUCAGACAUCCCCUGUCAGGGCCCGGUCCCUUCAGUCUGAGCGGAGCUUUGGAGGGUGGGAGAGCCCAGA